UACGUAGGGUGCAAGCGUUAAUCGGAUGUCUGGGCGUAAAGCGUGCGCAGGCGGUUAUGUAAGACAGAUGUGAAAUGCCCGGGCUUAACCUGGGAACUGCAUUUGUGACUGCAUGGCUAGAGUUUGGCAGAGGGGGGUAGAAUUCCACGUGUAGCAGUGAAAUGCGUAGAUAUGUGGAGGAACACCGAUGGCGAAGGCAGCCCCCUGGGUCAAGACUGACGCUCAUGCACGAAAGCGUGGGGAGCAAACAGG
rnacentral:rRNA from 1 species